GCAGGUUGGUACCUCAACAGUGCCCGCAACAUCUGUGAUCAAACUGCAGUUUUCAUUUGCAAAUUGCUGAGAAAGGAUUACAUAUCUGCUGCCAAGGCUGGAGGAAUCUGAAUUACAACAGGGAAGGCAAUUGAUUGGUGUUUGCAGAAGAGGCCGCUUGUCAGAAUGCUUAUGUGAGCACUGCUUGUUCUCCAACAUGCUAAUGACAGCUGUGACACAGCCUUUCCAGGCCGUGAGAAUCCAGCCAAGGGCUUAAACACUGAAACCCAAUGGAAAUUAGGAAGAGCAAGCCCCGUUGUUGGGCCUAACGCAUAGUAUGAAAAGCUCUGCUGCCAAUGCAGGGUGCAAACUAGGAAGGUUUCUGACAUCAGAAGAGUGACGCAAGUGGCAGAUCUAUCUCCACGGCCUGCACAUGACAGACCCUCUGAUGAGAAAGGUGACCCAGAGGAAAAAAGAGCAAGAAAACAAAACUUUAAAGAGGCAACUGCAUAAUAAUGCAAAUGCCUAACACAGCCUACUGUCAGAGUAGGCCUGCCAGUUUUAUGGAGAAAGAGAAGGAUAUGGGAUCUGAGUCAAUAAUCUAAGUCAUGCUGUAUGGAGUCGGAGGUGGCCUCAAUGAACCUUACAAGUCUCUCCCAACUUGGGACUGUCUGUAAUUCUGCUGUUGUCUUUCAGGUUGUUUUAA